UACGUAGGGUGCGAGCGUUGUCCGGAAUUAUUGGGCGUAAAGAGCUCGUAGGCGGUGUGUCACGUCGGCCGUGAAAACCUGGGGCUUAACUCUGGGCGUGCGGUCGAUACGGGCAUCACUGGAGUUCGGCAGGGGAGACUGGAAUUCCUGGUGUAGCGGUGAAAUGCGCAGAUAUCAGGAGGAACACCGGUGGCGAAGGCGGGUCUCUGGGCCGAUACUGACGCUGAGGAGCGAAAGCGUGGGGAGCGAACAG
rnacentral:rRNA from 1 species